AUGGCGGAGCUCUGUCUGCGUGAAGAGGAACUAGAUGACGUGAUCUACGAUGAGAAGGAGGCACCACCAGAUUCGGCCAGAUGGGUCGCGGUAGCACGGGUGCAUAUCAAGAAAUCGUAUAGUCAGUAUUGGUUCUUCAAGAACAUGCGCGCUGCUUGGGACCUUGCACAAGAUUGCAAGUUUCGUCCAUUGGAGGACAAUCUGUACACGGUGCAAUUUUUUUGCUUGGGAGAUUGGGAACGGGUCAUGCAGGAGGGCCCUUGGAAUUUCCAUGGGUACGCAGUGAUCCUUGCUCCGUAUGACGGCAUCACACAACCCUCGAUGGUCCCGUUGGAUACUCUUGAUAUAUGGAUU
rnacentral:rRNA from 1 species